GUGGUGUGGUAGUGUGUGUGGUGGUAGUGUGUGUGGUGGUAGUGUGUGGUGGUAGUGUGUGUGGUGGUAAUGUGUGGUGGUGUGUGGUGUGUGUGUGUGGUGGUAGUGUGUGGUGGUAGUGUGUGUGGUGGUAAUGUGUGGUGGUAGUGUGUGUGGUAGUGUUGUGUGGUGGUAGUGUGUGGUAGUAGUGUGUGGUGGUGGUAAUGUGUGGUGGUAGUGUGUGUGGUGGUAGUGUUGUGUGGUAGUAGUGGUGUGUAGUGUGUGUGGUGGUAGUGUGUGUGUAGUAGUGUGUGGUAGUAGUGUGUGUGGUAGUGUGUGUGGUGGUAGUGUGUGUGUGGUAGUGUGUGUGGUGGUAGUGUGUGUGGUGGUAGUGUGUGUGGUAGUGUGUGGUGGUAGUGUGUGUGGUGGUAGUGUGUGGUGGUAGUGUGUGUAGUGGUAGUGUGUGUGUGGUAGUUGUGUGGUGGUAGUGUGUGUGGUAGUGUGUGG
ensembl:lncRNA